AGUGAACGCUGGCGGCAGGCCUAACACAUGCAAGUCGAACGGCAGCACAGUAACAUGUUGCUGGUACGGGGGGGGAGACGGGGAAGGGUUAGGUAGAAACCGGAACCUACGUGGUCGUGGGGGAGGAGGAAGGGGGAUUAAUACCAAAAACGCACACCACCUACGAGUGAAAGAAGGGGAUCUUUGGACCUUGCGCGUUGGAAGGAGCCGAUGUCGGAUUAGCUAGUUGGCGGGGUAAAGGCCCACCAAGGCGACGAUCAGUAGCUGGUCUGAGAGGAUGAUCAGCCACACUGGGACUGAGACACGGUCCAGACUCCUACGGGAGGCAGCAGUGGGGAAUAUUGGACAAUGGGCGCAAGCCUGAUCCAGCCAUGCCGCGUGUGUGAAGAAGGCCUUCGGGUUGUAAAGCCCUUUUGUUCGGAAAGAAAAGCUGCACGCUAAUACGCUGGUGUUCUGACGGUACCGGAAGAAUAAGCACCGGCUAACUUCGUG
rnacentral:rRNA from 1 species